AUGCGAGCGAGUGUAGCGCCGGGGGAGGAAGCGGAGGUGCAGGUCGAAGAGGCCGGGCUAGCCGAGCCCAUUGCGGGAGCAACUGCAGCAGCUAGGCAGCAUCCAGUGGCGUGCCAGGCGGCCCAGACCGUUGCUUUACUUUUUGCUGCACCAACGUAGUCAUUAUGCCGAAGAGAAAGUCUCCAGAGAAUACAGAGGGCAAAGAUGGAACCAAACUAACCAAACAGGAGCCCACACGACGGUCAGCCCGAUUGUCAGCGAAACCUGUUCCGCCAAAACCCGAGCCUAAACCAAGAAAAACAUCUGCUAAGACAAAACCUGGAACAAAGAUUAGCAGAGGUGCUAAAGGGAAGAAGGAAGAGAAGCAGGAAGCUGGAAAGGAAGGUACUGCCCCAUCUGCAAAUGGUGACACUAAAGCUGAAGAGAUCCACAUCUCUCGUUCAACUGUUAAUGUCUCAGCCUGCAGAAGCCCCCCACCCAGCACACUGUCAGUAAAGGGGCAGAUUGAAACAGUGAGAGUUAAGGGUACAGUAGACACUCUGCAUGUUUGCAGUGACUAGAAUCAGAGUUGAAGUGUGUUUUGGAGUAGACCUGGAAGGAAAACAAGAGGCCAAAUGCUCAAAAGCACAGAGAACUGAGUCUAUAGAUAAUGAGGGAGAAUGAAUUGUCGUGGAAAACUGGGGUUGAUUUCACGUACCUCUUGGGACAACUUUUAAAAGCUAUUUUUACCACGUAUUUUGUAAAUGCUAAUUUUUUAGGACUCUUAUUAGUUGGCAUAAAAUAUAUAUAAAGAUGGACAUUUUAUCCUCUUAUGGUGAUGUUUUUUGGAAAUUUCCAUCAUCCUUAAGUAAAAUAAAUACCAAUUUAAUAUCGGAAGCUGCGUGUAAAAUGGAUUCAGCAUUCCAUGCCCUUGCUUUAAAAGUUUAGUCCUGUGCAUACUGUGGUGUUUUUACUGUGCAUAUUUGAAUUUUUCAUGCAAUUUUUCUAGAGCAAUAAUCAGUGGUGCUUUUGUGCCUAGGUUUUAUGUGAUUUUAAUGAAAUAUGGAUAGUUGUGGCCACCUGCUAUUUGUGGUUUAAAAUAAAACAGUUUUCAUGUCUGCAAAAUA